GGGGCCGUAGUGUAACUUGGCUAUCACUCCACCUUGGGGUGGUGGUAAUCGGGGUUCGAAUCCUCGCGGCCCCA
rnacentral:tRNA from 1 species